rnacentral:rRNA from 1 species
GACGUAGGAGGCGAGCGUUGUCCGGAGUUACUGGGCGUAAAGCGCGCGCAGGCGGCCCUGUGCGCUGCCGGUGAAAGCUCCCGGCUUACCUGGGAGAGGUUCGGCAGGACGGCAGGGCUGGAGGGUGGGAGAGGUCGGUGGAAUUCCCGGUGUAGUGGUGAAAUGCGUAGAGAUCGGGAGGAACAUCAGUGGCGAAGGCGGCCGCCUGGACCAGCACUGACACUGAGGCACGAAAGCGUGGGGAGCAAACAGG